rnacentral:rRNA from 1 species
AUUGAACGCUGGCGUCAGGCCUAACACAUGCAAGUCGAGCGGAGCUGCGGACGGGUGAGUAAUGCCUAGGAAUCUGCCUGGUAGUGGGGGAUAACGUCCGGAAACUGGCGCUAAUACCGCAUACUAUCAGAUGAGCCUAGGUCGAAUGAGCUAGUUGGUGGGGUAAAGGCCUACCACGGCGACGAUCCGUAACUGGUGUGAGAGUGUGAUCAGUCACAUUGGAACUGAGACACGGUCCAGACUCUUACGGGAGGAAGAAUUGGGGAAUAUUGGACAAUGGGCGAAAGCCGGAGCCAGCCAUGCCGCGUGUGUUAAGAAGGUCUUCGGAUUUUAAAGAACUUUAAGUUGGGAGGCGUUACCAACAGAAUAAGCACCGGCUAACUUCGUGCCAGCAGCCGCGGUAAUUC